CACACGUGGGGCAUGGGUUGGUCCGGGAGAAAUCCGGAUUGGUCCGCCGGUGGCGCUUAUGCGCUCACGCCCUGCGGAGGUUCAACCGGAAACAGGAGAACA
rnacentral:sRNA from 1 species